rnacentral:rRNA from 1 species
CUUGCUUCUCUUGAGAGCGGCGGACGGGUGAGUAAUGCCUAGGAAUCUGCCUGGUAGUGGGGGAUAACGUUCGGAAACGGACGCUAAUACCGCAUACGUCCUACGGGAGAAAGCAGGGGACCUUCGGGCCUUGCGCUAUCAGAUGAGCCUAGGUCGGAUUAGCUAGUUGGUGGGGUAAUGGCUCACCAAGGCUACGAUCCGUAACUGGUCUGAGAGGAUGAUCAGUCACACUGGAACUGAGACACGGUCCAGACUCCUACGGGAGGCAGCAGUGGGGAAUAUUGGACAAUGGGCGAAAGCCUGAUCCAGCCAUGCCGCGUGUGUGAAGAAGGUCUUCGGAUUGUAAAGCACUUUAAGUUGGGAGGAAGGGUUGUAGAUUAAUACUCUGCAAUUUUGACGUUACCGACAGAAUAAGCACCGGCUAACUCUGUGCCAGCAGCCGCGGUAAUACAGAGGGUGCAAGCGUUAAUCGGAAUUACUGGGCGUAAAGCGCGCGUAGGUGGUUUGUUAAGUUGGAUGUGAAAUCCCCGGGCUCAACCUGGGAACUGCAUUCAAAACUGACUGACUAGAGUAUGGUAGAGGGUGGUGGAAUUUCCUGUGUAGCGGUGAAAUGCGUAGAUAUAGGAAGGAACACCAGUGGCGAA